UGGGGAAUAUUGGACAAUGGGCGCAAGCCUGAUCCAGCCAUGCCGCGUGAGUGAUGAAGGCCCUAGGGUUGUAAAGCUCUUUCACCGGUGAAGGUAAUGACGGUAACCGGAGAAGAAGCCCCGGCUAACUUCGUGCCAGCAGCCGCGGUAAUACGAAGGGGGCUAGCGUUGUUCGGAUUUACUGGGCGUAAAGCGCACGUAGGCGGACUAUUAAGUCAGGGGUGAAAUCCCGGGGCUCAACCCCGGAACUGCCUUUGAUACUGGUAGUCUUGAGUUCGAGAGAGGUGAGUGGAAUUCCGAGUGUAGAGGUGAAAUUCGUAGAUAUUCGGAGGAACACCAGUGGCGAAGGCGGCUCACUGGCUCGAUACUGACGCUGAGGUGCGAAAGCGUGGGGAGCAAACAGG
rnacentral:rRNA from 1 species